rnacentral:rRNA from 1 species
AGAGUUUGAUCCUGGCUCAGGAUGAACGCUGGCGGCGUGCCUAAUACAUGCAAGUCGAGCGAAUGGAUUAAGAGCUUGCUCUUAUGAAGUUAGCGGCGGACGGGUGAGUAACACGUGGGUAACCUGCCCAUAAGACUGGGAUAACUCCGGGAAACCGGGGCUAAUACCGGAUAAUAUUUUGAACUGCAUGGUUCGAAAUUGAAAGGCGGCUUCGGCUGUCACUUAUGGAUGGACCCGCGUCGCAUUAGCUAGUUGGUGAGGUAACGGCUCACCAAGGCAACGAUGCGUAGCCGACCUGAGAGGGUGAUCGGCCACACUGGGACUGAGACACGGCCCAGACUCCUACGGGAGGCAGCAGUAGGGAAUCUUCCGCAAUGGACGAAAGUCUGACGGAGCAACGCCGCGUGAGUGAUGAAGGCUUUCGGGUCGUAAAACUCUGUUGUUAGGGAAGAACAAGUGCUAGUUGAAUAAGCUGGCACCUUGACGGUACCUAACCAGAAAGCCACGGCUAACUACGUGCCAGCAGCCGCGGUAAUACGUAGGUGGCAAGCGUUAUCCGGAAUUAUUGGGCGUAAAGCGCGCGCAGGUGGUUUCUUAAGUCUGAUGUGAAAGCCCACGGCUCAACCGUGGAGGGUCGUUGGAAACUGGGAGACUUGAGUGCAGAAGAGGAAAGUGGAAUUCCAUGUGUAGCGGUGAAAUGCGUAGAGAUAUGGAGGAACACCAGUGGCGAAGGCGACUUUCUGGUCUGUAACUGACACUGAGGCGCGAAAGCGUGGGGAGCAAACAGGAUUAGAUACCCU